UGCUUGUGCCCAGGUCCCAGUGGUGGU
rnacentral:piRNA from 1 species